rnacentral:rRNA from 1 species
UACGGAGGGUGCAAGCGUUAUCCGGAUUUACUGGGUUUAAAGGGUGCGUAGGUGGGUCUGUAAGUCAGUGGUGAAAUCUUCAAGCUCAACUUGGAAACUGCGUCGGAUACUAUUCGGCUGGAGGAAUGGAGGGGAGACUGGAAUACUUGGUGUAGCAGUGAAAUGCGUAGAUAUCAAGUGGAACACCAGUGGCGAAGGCGAGUCUCUGGACAUUUCCUGACGCUGAGGCACGAAAGCCAGGGGAGCAAACGGG